UGAACCAAUACAUGCACUUUGUCCAACACAAAAUCGUAAUCAAACAUACAUUAAUUGAACCCUACUAAUAUAUAAUACCAUACACUUGGACCUCAUAGUAUAUAUCUAUGAGUUGAAGUCGGCAUUUAGGUCAGCAAGUGAUGAGGUCCACAAGUGAGGAAACAUGUUACCAAAAGUACAUAUUCAUAGACGAUGACAUGCACGGUGCAGAACACGGUGGACAAAUAAUGGUGGGUUCACAUUAACACCAACCCGCACGUCAUAUCUUGGCUGAUACCAAACCACUCAAUUUUUAAUGUGAUUUUCAAGGGUUACUAGGAUGGACUAAGAUGUUUCCUCAUUGGUCAAUCAACUUAUCUUAUCUGCAGUCCCAGAGAAAAAUUCAAACCGUCUUCACGUAGAGAUCCUGUCUGAGCAUGCCAUGCAGUCCAUUUGAAAUCGUCAAAGCCACAUGCAGUAAAAGGACGAAAUGUGUCGUGGCUUUCAAUUGAACGAUCAAGUUUACUUUUCAUUUCGUGUCCAUUUGAAAUCGUCAAAGCCACACGCUUUUUAUUUAUUUAUUUUUUUUUUAGGCAACGAUGAAGAAAUUAUAUUAAUAUGAAGCUUAAUAACCUUUUUUCAGCUUUCUUGUUGUAAGUUUUGCUAAAAAUGGUUUUGAUUUUGAUUUUUUUGAUUUUUAUGAAUUCUUUAACAAUGAGGGUUUGACUUCAUAUUGUAAUGCUGCAAUAUUAAUGUAUUUAUAUUUUGUUGAAAUGGCAUUUGCUUGUUCACAUUUCUCAUAUUUUUAGGGAGGGUAAUCAAGUUGCUGAUUGUUUGUCUAGUUGGGUGUUGAUCAUCCCAUUGUUUGUUGGUCGACACUAUGUGCUAGUCAGGCGACGAAACUGGGGCCUAGUGCUUAGGCAGAUUUAAGUAACUUUAUUAUAUAUUGUACAAAUAAGUACCUAUUUAUACCUUAAAAAUAUAUAAUUGUAUUGGAAUACAUAAUUAAAUUGAAAAAUAGAAUAACUUAUGGAUUAGAAAGUUUUAGAACAUAUUGAAAAACACAUGGAACUAUAAUAUAAUGAGUGUUCAUCUAAGUACUUAACAAGUCUCUUACAAUUUAUUAAAAAAAUGCAAAUGAAAGUUAUCUAUUUUCAAUGUAAGUGAGAGAUGCGACCUAAGUGAGUGCAUAUGCGGGUCUAAGUGGGCUAGGUAGGCGUCUAAGAAGGUCUAGGCGACCUUUCUUAAUUUUCAAAUGCCUAAAGAUUAAUCGGGCGGUAGCUAGCCACCUAACGUUUAGAACAAUGUCUCCUUGUUAUAAAUUUCUCAGCUUUCUUGUUAUAUGUUUUACUAAAAGUGAUUUUGACUUGUUUUUUAUGAAAUAUGUAACAGCCAGAGUUUGGCUUCAUGUCUUGUUUAACAUAUUGUAUUUAUAUAAGUCAUUUUCUAUGAUAAUAAUGCUAGAGUGCGAUUGAUUUUGCUGUU
rnacentral:lncRNA from 1 species